UCAGUUUGGACCUUCUCCUAAGAUGACUAAUAAUUGAAAAGUGGUUUUAUAAUGUGGAAUAAUGUUCGUUAUGAGACCAAUUAGGGAACAAAUUUUCACCAAUAACUCCUCAACUUGCAGUGACGGAUUUAAGACAGAUCCCUAUGCACAGGGAUCCAAGCCAGCUGAACAUUCGGUAGCAGAAGGCAUUUGGUGCACAGCUCUUCCUAAAGAAUGUAGGGAAGAAAUUCCCCCCAGUCUUCUGACUACAGAGUUAUCUAUAAAGCGUGAGAGUUAGGAGGAGAAAAAGUGGCCUGGUGCAAGAUGGGACUCAUUAUAGUUUGUACCAUGGCAAGCCAAUGAAAAGUAGCAGAUGGCACAUUAGAAACAGGCAGUCCCCGACUUACGUGGAUCCGACUUACGUCAG